rnacentral:rRNA from 1 species
AUUGAACGCUGGCGGCAGGCCUAACACAUGCAAGUCGAGCGGAUGAAGGGAGCUUGCUCCUGGUUUCAGCGUCGGACGGGUGAGUAAUGCCUGUGAAUCUGCCUGGCAUUGGGUUAUAACGUCUGGAAACGGGCGCUAAUACCGCAUACGUCCUGCUCGAGCAAGUGGGGGAGCUUCGGACCUCUCGCUCUCAGAUGAGCUUAGGUCGGAUUAGCUAGUUUGUAGGGUAAAGGCCUACCAAGGCGACGAUCCGUAACUGGUCUGAGAGGAUGAUCAGUCACACUGGAACGGAGACACGGACAAGAGGACUGAGAGAGGGAGCAGUGGGGAAUAUUGGACAGUGGGCGAGAGCAUGAUCCAGCGAGGCGGAGUGUGUGAAGAAGGUGUUGGGAUCGGAAAGCACUUUUAGUUGGGGGGAAGCGCAGUAAGUUGAUACCUUGCGGUAUUGACGGUACCAAGAGAAUAAGCACCGGCUAACUACGUG